rnacentral:rRNA from 1 species
UACGUAGGGUGCGAGCGUUAAUCGGAAUUACUGGGCGUAAAGCGUGCGCAGGCGGUUUUGUAAGCCAGAUGUGAAAUCCCCGGGCUUAACCUGGGAAUGGCAUUUGGGACUGCAAGGCUUGAGUGCGGCAGAGGAGACUGGAAUUCCUGGUGUAGCAGUGAAAUGCGUAGAUAUCAGGAGGAACACCAAUGGCGAAGGCAGCUCGCUGGGACGUGACUGACGCUGAGACGCGAAAGCGUGGGGAGCAAACAGG